UACGGAGGGUGCAAACGUUGCUCGGAAUUAUUGGGCGUAAAGCGCACGUAGGCGGCCGAUUAAGUCGGGUGUGAAAGCCCUGGGCUCAACCCAGGAAGUGCACUCGAAACUGGACGGCUUGAAUAUGGAAGAGGGUUGCGGAAUUCCCGGUGUAGAGGUGAAAUUCGUAGAUAUCGGGAGGAACACCAGUGGCGAAGGCGGCAACCUGGGCCAAUAUUGACGCUGAGGUGCGAAAGCGUGGGGAGCAAACAGG
rnacentral:rRNA from 1 species